rnacentral:rRNA from 1 species
AUUGAACGCUGGCGGCAUGCCUUACACAUGCAAGUCGAACGGCAGCACGGGAGCAAUCCUGGUGGCGAGUGGCGAACGGGUGAGUAAUAUAUCGGAACGUGCCCAGUCGUGGGGAUAACGUAGCGAAAGCUACGCUAAUACCGCAUACGAUCUAUGGAUGAAAGCGGGGGAUCGCAAGGACCUCGCGCGAUUGGAGCGGCCGAUAUCAGAUUAGGUAGUUGGUGAGGUAAAGGCUCACCAAAGCCGACGAUCUGUAGCUGGUCUGAGAGGACGACCAGCCACACUGGGACUGAGACACGG